UUUGCAGAGAGUCACAGAUUUUGUGACAGAGUUCAGGAUGCAUAUACGCUGCGCUGUUGCCCUCAGGUUCACGGUGUGGCAAAUGACACAAUAGCUUUUGUAAAGGACAUAAUCACGACUGAAAUUAACAGUGCAACAGACAAUCCUAUGGUUUUUGCUGAAAGGGGAGAGACCAUUUCUGGAGGAAAUUUUCAUGGUGAAUACCCUGCAAAGGCUCUGGACUACCUGGCAAUUGGUGUCCAUGAACUUGCUGCAAUUAGUGAAAGAAGGAUUGAAAGACUAUGCAACCCAUCUCUCAGUGAGCUGCCUGCAUUUCUAGUCACCGAAGGGGGUCUGAAUUCUGGUUUCAUGAUUGCGCACUGCACAGCAGCGGCCCUAGGUGAGUACACGAAGACCUAAGCAAGACUGGCAAGAGAACAAAAUUAGAAAGAUCAACCUAUGUUAGCACUGUGAUAGUUUGAUAGUACUGAUAAAGGAAACCCCAGAAAAAAUAGCUCUCAGCUCCAGCUGUAAAUUCUUCUUUUCUCCCCAUGUCCAGCUGAGUUAUCUGAUAUAGUUUGCAGCCAAGUCUCCCAGGGCCACCCAGAGGAUUCAGGGGCCCUGGGGUCUUCGGCGGCGGGUCCCGAGGCGGAAGGACCCCCCGCCACGGGUCUUCGGGGCAUUUCAGUGGCCUGGGGCAAAUUGCCCCACUUGCCCCCCCCCCUCUGGGCAGCCCUGCCAUCUCCCCUUCAGAGGCCCUGAACCUGCAAAGAUUUAUGUAUGUGUUUAGCUCUAAACCUGUGAGCAGUCCAGCUAGGGUUGCUAACAGUCCCUUAUUAUAAGGGACGUCCCUUAUUUUUUCAUCUCUGUACAACAAGAUCAGGCAUUGCUGAGUGCUGCAAAAAGCAGCAAGAAAUGCCCCAUGUGAAUUUAGGUGAGUAAUGUUCAUUUAUUGUAUUUAUUUAUUAACGAUAAUAAUGAUAAUAUUGGGGAGUGGGGUGAGUCGGGGGUGCUAAGAAAACAAUCCCUUAUUUUUGAAAUACAAUGUUGGCAACAGUAGCAUUACUCAAGUGCUUAAAUCUUUGUAGGACUGGAGUCUGAGUUUCGGAAUGGUUAAGCGCCACAGUCCCACUUGAAAUCAGUAGGAGCUAGAAGUACCCAGCACCUCUGAAAAUCAGGCCCUAAAAGCACAACAAAGCUAAAAAGCAAAUUAUCUAUGUACAAACAAUUCUAUUUUUGAUUCUACACAAAACGUAUCAUUUCUAUCUGUAGCCCUCCACUUCUGGGACAUCCCAAUCCCCAAGGGUGGUGUGGAGCCCCUUAAUCUUUCCUUCUCAGGGACACAGCAAUAGGCCCUGGGUGCUUAGCGCAUGGUGUCUCCAGCUAGUGGUUGGGUGCAUAAACCAGUAACAAGCCCUAUGAGCCCCAGGCUAUUACAAUUC